GACGAACGCUGGCGGCGUGCUUAACACAUGCAAGUCGAACGGAAAGGCCCUGCUUUUGUGGGGUGCUCGAGUGGCGAACGGGUGAGUAACACGUGAGUAACCUGCCCUUGACUUUGGGAUAACUUCAGGAAACUGGGGCUAAUACCGGAUAGGAGCUCCUGCUGCAUGGUGGGGGUUGGAAAGUUUCGGCGGUUUGGGAUGGACUCGCGGCUUAUCAGCUUGUUGGUGGGGUAGUGGCUUACCCAGGCUUUGACGGGUAGCCGGCCUGAGAGGGUGGCCGGCCACAUUGGGACUGAGGUACGGCCCAGACGCCUACGGGAGGCAGCAGUGGGGAAUAUUGCACAAUGGGCGGAAGCCUGAUGCAGCAACGCCGCGUGCGGGAUGACGGCCUUCGGGUUGUAAACCGCUUUCGCCUGUGACGAAGCGUGAGUGACGGUAAUGGGUAAAGAAGCACCGGCUAACUACGUG
rnacentral:rRNA from 1 species